UGCAAGUCGAGCGGAAAGGCCCUUCGGGGUACUCGAGCGGCGAACGGGUGAGUAACACGUGAGCAACCUGCCCUAGGCUUUGGGAUAACCCCGGGAAACCGGGGCUAAUACCGAAUAUGACCUCUGGUCGCAUGACUGGUGGUGGAAAGUUUUUCGGCCUGGGAUGGGCUCGCGGCCUAUCAGCUUGUUGGUGGGGUGAUGGCCUACCAAGGCGACGACGGGUAGCCGGCCUGAGAGGGCGACCGGCCACACUGGGACUGAGACACGGCCCAGACUCCUACGGGAGGCAGCAGUGGGGAAUAUUGCACAAUGGGCGGAAGCCUGAUGCAGCGACGCCGCGUGAGGGAUGACGGCCUUCGGGUUGUAAACCUCUUUCAGCAGGGACGAAGCGUAAGUGACGGUACCUGCAGAAGAAGCGCCGGCCAACUACGUGCCAGCAGCCGCGGUAAGACGUAGGGCGCGAGCGUUGUCCGGAUUUAUUGGGCGUAAAGAGCUCGUAGGCGGCUUGUCGCGUCGACUGUGAAAACCCGCAGCUCAACUGCGGGCCUGCAGUCGAUACGGGCAGGCUAGAGUUCGGUAGGGGAGACUGGAAUUCCUGGUGUAGCGGUGAAAUGCGCAGAUAUCAGGAGGAACACCGGUGGCGAAGGCGGGUCUCUGGGCCGAUACUGACGCUGAGGAGCGAAAGCGUGGGGAGCGAACAGGAUUAGA
rnacentral:rRNA from 2 species